AAUAAGGAUCGGCUAACUCCGUGCCAGCAGCCGCGGUAAUACGGAGGAUUCGAGCGUUAUGCCGGAUUUAUUGGGGUUAAAGGGUCCGUAGGCGGAUUUGUAAGUCAGGGGUGAAAUCCCACUGCUCAACUGUGGAACUGCCAUUGAUACUGCAGAUCUUGAAUAUAGUUGAGGUAGGCGGAAUGCGUUAUGUAGCGGUGAAAUGCAUAGAUAUGACGUCAGAACACCGAUUGCGAAGGCAGCUUACUAAGCUAUUAUUGACGCUGAUGGACGAAAGCGUGGGGAGGGAAGAGGAUUAGAUACCCUGGUAGUCCACGCCGUAA
rnacentral:rRNA from 1 species